UACGAAGGGGGCUAGCGUUGUUCGGAAUCACUGGGCGUAAAGGGCGCGUAGGCGGCCGAUCAAGUCGGGGGUGAAAGCCUGUGGCUCAACCACAGAAUUGCCUUCGAUACUGGUUGGCUUGAGACCGGAAGAGGUAAGUGGAACUGCGAGUGUAGAGGUGAAAUUCGUAGAUAUUCGCAAGAACACCAGUGGCGAAGGCGGCUUACUGGUCCGGUACUGACGCUGAGGUGCGAAAGCGUGGGGAGCAAACAGG
rnacentral:rRNA from 1 species